rnacentral:rRNA from 1 species
UACCCCGUCUUGAAACACGGACCAAGGAGUCUAGCAUGUGCGCGAGUCAUUGGGAUUUUUUUACACUAAACCCAGAGGCGCAAUGAAAGUGAAAGGCGCGGCCUCGGUCGCGCCGGAGGGAAGAUGCGCGGACGGCGUCCGCCGCCCCGCCGCAUUCCCGAGGCGUUUCGAGAAAGCCACCGUUGUUAUUAUCGAGACGCACUGAGAGCGUACACGCUGGGACCCGAAAGAUGGUGAACUAUGCCUGGUCAGGUCGAAGUCAGGGGAA